rnacentral:misc_RNA from 1 species
AAGUCGUAACAAGGUUUCCGUAGGUGAACCUGCGGAAGGAUCAUUAUCGAAUAGCUUAGGAUUUUGGAUUGUUGCUGGCCUCUUGUAGGCAUGUGCACAUCCUCUAUCCGAAACUUUUCUUCAACCACUGUGCACCUUUUGUGAGCCUUUGUGAAUACGGAUUGAGACUUGCGCCUAACACGCGCUUGACUCGUUAAAGUCGUUUUGCGGGGUUCACGUUUAUUACACACACACAAUGUAAACUUUAGAACGCAUGAAUAGAGUUGGGACUUGCGCCCUUCUUUAAAAUGUCUAUACAACUUUCAACAACGGAUCUCUUGGCUCUC